GUACGGGCCAGAAAGCCAAGCUG
rnacentral:piRNA from 1 species